rnacentral:lncRNA from 1 species
AAAAGAUAAAAAUUGAACACUUUAUCUCAAGAAUAUGAAUUGCACGGAAUGCUAGCCCAUGAAAGUAUUCUUAAUUUGCGAAAAAGAUUUACAUACCUGACAAAAAAUUUGACGACACUUGAAAAAACAUUCACAAAUGAUGAUUUAAAUCUCAAAUUUCUUAUAUUAUUGUCUAGUGCAUGGUAACGAAAAAUGACGGUAAUAUCUAAAAAGAAUAGUCUUUUUAAAUUU